GGGUAAAGUGGUUAGGUAACAGGAUAGAUAGACAGUAGCAGCAGUAUACUGUAGGUAGUGGUAAAGUGACUAGUUAACAUGAUAGAUAAUAGACAGUAACAGCAGUAUACUGUAGGUAGGGUUAAAGUGACUAGUUAACAGGAUAGAUAAUAGACAGUAAAAGCAGUAUACUGUAGGUAGGGGUAAAGUGACAUGGUAACAGAAUAGAUAGACAAUAACAGCAGUAUACUGUAGGUAGGGGUAAAAUGACUAGUUAACAGGACAGAUAGACAGAAACAGCAGUAUACUGUAGGUAGGGGUAAAGUGACUAGGUAACAGGAUAGAUGGACAGUAACAGCAGUAUACUGUAGGUAGGGGU
rnacentral:lncRNA from 1 species